rnacentral:rRNA from 1 species
UUGACCUCGGAUCAGGUAGGAAUACCCGCUGAACUUAAGCAUAUCAAUAAGCGGAGGAAAAGAAACCAACAGGGAUUGCCCUAGUAACGGCGAGUGAAGCGGCAACAGCUCAAAUUUGAAAUCUGGCUCUCGGGCCCGAGUUGUAAUUUGUAGAGGAUGCUUUUGAUGCGGUGCCUUCCGAGUUCCCUGGAACGGGACGCCAUAGAGGGUGAGAGCCCCGUCUGGUUGGAUGCCAAAUCUCUGUAAAGCUCCUUCGACGAGUCGAGUAGUUUGGGAAUGCUGCUCUAAAUGGGAGGUAUAUGUCUUCUAAAGCUAAAUACCGGCCAGAGACCGAUAGCGCACAAGUAGAGUGAUCGAAAGAUGAAAAGCACUUUGAAAAGAGAGUUAAAAAGUACGUGAAAUUGUUGAAAGGGAAGCGUUUAUGACCAGACUUGGGCUUGGUUAAUCAUCUGGGGUUCUCUCCAGUGCACUUUUCCAGUCCAGGCCAGCAUCAGUUUUCGCCGGGGGAUAAAGGCUUCGGGAAUGUGGCUCUCUCCGGGGAGUGUUAUAGCCCGUUGCGUAAUACCCUGGCGGGGACUGAGGUUC